GGGGGCGGUGUCGGAUUACUGGGUGUAAGGGUCCGCAGGCGGGCAAGCAAGUCGGUGGUGAAAGUUCACGGCUCAACCGUGAAAUUGCCUUCGAUACUGCUUGUCUUGAGUUCGAGAGAGGAUGAUGGAAUUCAUGGUGUAGCGGUGAAAUGCGUAGAGAUCAUGAAGAACACCAGUAGCGAAGGCGGUCAUCUGGCUCGAUACUGACGCUCAGGGACGAAAGCGUGGGGAGCAAACAGGAUUAGAUACCCUGGUAGUCCACGCCUUAAACGAUGGAUGUUCGGUGUCGGUCCCGCUAAGCACUUGCGUGCAAGUUCUUAGCGGGAUCGGUGCCUGAGCUAACGCGUUAAACAUCCCACCUGGGGAGUACGAUCGCAAGGUUGAAACUCAAAGGAAUUGACGGGGGCCCGCACAAGCAGUGGAGAAUGUGGUUCAAUUCGAUGCAACGCGAAGAACCUUACCUGGGUUUGAAAGGCAAGUGACAGGCGAUGAAAGUCGCUCUCGUAGCAAUACGCACUUGUACAGGUGCUGCAUGGCUGUCGUCAGCUCGUGCCGUGAGGUGUUAGGUUAAGUCCUGCAACGAGCGCAACCCCUGCACUUAGUUGCCAUCAGGUCAAGCUGGGCACUCUAAGUGGACUGCCUACGCAAGUAGUGAGGAAGGCGGGGAUGACGUCAAGUCCUCAUGGCCCUUACACCCAGGGCCACACACGUUCUACAAUGGCCGCCACAAAGGGUUGCUAUGCCGCAAGGUGGAGCCAAUCCCAAAAAAGCGGUCUCAGUUCGGAUUGGGGUCUGCAACUCGACCCCAUGAAGCUGGAAUUGCUAGUAAUCGCGUAUCAGCAUGACGCGGUGAAUACGUUCCCGGGCCUUGUACACACCGCCCGUCAAGCCAUGGAAACUAGGGGUACCCGAAAACGCUAUGUCAACCGCAAGGAGACAGGCGCCUAAAGUAAAACUAGCGACUGGGGCUAAGUCGUAACAAGGUAACC
rnacentral:rRNA from 1 species